ACACACUCUGGCACACUUCAGGAAGCAGCGAUUUCAUUGUGCCUUGCUCUCUAGUGUGUUAAGCAUCUUCCGAGGGACAGGGAUUCCGGAGCUGGGAAAAAUGAUCUUCACCAUGGCUUUGCCAGCAUGUGUCCUGCUAAUCCAGACAGGUCUUGUUGGAGGUAACCCCCCGAAGCAAUUCCUCUCCAAUGUGUCAGCCACAGUUGGGCAGCGAGUGGUUCUGCCCUGCCAGUCCAUCAUCGAGGACAGCGGCAGCGGUCUGAACUUCUUCUGGUACCGCCAGCUCCCGGGGGAAGCCUUGAAAUUUCUCCUACAAGCAUUUAAAGAUUCAGGGAAUGACAAGUUCCGCAGUGGCCAGUUCUCUGUGGUGGUCUACAAAAAUAAAACAGCCCCCUUAGAAAUAGCAAAUGUUUCUUUUGAGGACACUGCGAUUUAUUACUGCGCUCUGAAGUACCACAUUAAACUAAGCCACAUUUCCACUCGUGCAAAAUCUGCAUUGCGCAGAACAGCAUAGGAGGGGUGAACCUCUGCAUCUUCCAGCCUUGGCAGUGCUUUUGUCCCUGAAAUGAUCCUCUCCUUACAUUAACCUUUCCAACAUCUCCCAGCCCAAUUACUCCCUACUUUUCUCAAAGGCCCCCAUCUAAGCAGAGGUAUUCAGACCAGGGACUUAGAAACACAGGAUCAUGG